rnacentral:rRNA from 1 species
UACGAAGGGGGCGAGCGUUGUUCGGAUUUACUGGGCGUAAAGGGCGCGCAGGCGGCUCAUUUUGUCAGGCGUGAAAGCCCCGGGCUUAACCUGGGAACUGCGUUUGAUACGGAUGGGCUAGAGUUCGGGAGAGGAGAGUGGAAUUCCCAGUGUAGAGGUGAAGUUCGUAGAUAUUGGGAAGAACACCGGUGGCGAAGGCGGCUCUCUGGACCGAUACUGACGCUGAGGCGCGAAAGCGUGGGGAGCAAACAGG